AUGUGCCUCAGACUUCUCUGCUGUGUGGCCCUUUCUUUCUGGGGAGCAGCCUCCAUGGACACCAAGGUCACCCAGAGACCUAGACUUCUGGUCAAAGCAAAUGAACAGAAAGCAAAGAUGGACUGUGUUCCUAUAAAAGGACAUAGUUAUGUUUACUGGUAUCAUAAGACGCUGGAAGAAGAGCUCAAGUUUUUGAUUUACUUUCAGAAUGAAGAAAUUAUUCAGAAAGCAGAAAUAAUCAAUGAGCAAUUUUCAGCCCAAUGCCCCCAAAACUCACCCUGUACCUUGGAGAUCCAGUCCACAGAGUCAGGGGACACAGCACUGUAUUUCUGUGCCAGCAGCAAAGCCACAGUGCCGAAUGCCACCUUCAUCAGGUCUACAGUUCUACAACACAGAGUGUCAGUAGUAGGGAACGUUGUUCAUUUUAUGCAUUUAAAAUAUUAUCCUGAGAUGGAGUCCUUAGGAUUUACCAGUCUGACAAAGAGGUCCCUGGUACAAUGUGAAGAACUCUUGGACGCAGAAUUAGAUCCUCAACGCAGGCAUGAUUGA